UACGUAGGGUGCAAGCGUUGUCCGGAAUUAUUGGGCGUAAAGAGCUCGUAGGCGGUUUGUCGCGGCGAAUGUGAAAACCCGGGGCUCAACCCCGGGCCUGCAUUCGAUACGGGCAGACUAGAGUUCGGUAGGGGAGUCUGGAAUUCCUGGUGUAGCGGUGAAAUGCGCAGAUAUCAGGAGGAACACCGGUGGCGAAGGCGGGACUCUGGGCCGAUACUGACGCUGAGGAGCGAAAGCGUGGGGAGCAAACAGG
rnacentral:rRNA from 1 species